rnacentral:lncRNA from 1 species
AUACUGAAUUAGUAUAUGUGUAUUUUAACAGGAAAUAGUGAAAAGAGGAGAAAAAAAGAGACAGAUAAUGAAAGUUUGGGGCUCUUUGGUCCUUUUUAGCCUAUUCAUCUUGUGCCUUGAUGCUAAACCUGGCAUCAAAGUGAAGAUUACACAAAGAGGUUUGAACUUCGGGACACAAUUUGGACUAGAAUUCCUGAAGCAAAGGUUAAAAGAAGAAAUUUUUGAGGAUUUUCAUGGGCAAGAUACAUCUGGACUUACGGGACUCAAUUACACAAUUUUUAAGAUAAGAUUUGAGACUGUUGAAUUUCCCAAUGCAUCCGUGUCUCUCAAAUCUGGUAAUGAGAUUAAACUACUGAUUAAAGAUGCUUCAGCAACUCUCACUGCAGAUUGGAAACUGAAGACUUGGCUGUUGUGAGUAUGACCUAGCACAGACUUGGGCAAAGUGCGGCCCGAGGGUCACAUACGGCCCGCUAGCCGCUCCUGUCUGGCCAUUUA